ensembl:snRNA U6 U6 spliceosomal RNA
GUGCUCGCUUCGGCAACACAUAUACUAAAUUGGAACGAUACAGAGAAGAUUAGCAUGGCCCCUGUGCAAGGAUGACAUGCAAAUUCGUGAAGCGUUCCAUAUUUUA